CCACUGGCCCAGCUUCGGGAAGCCUCCUCUGUGCAGAGUCUGGAGAGGAGAGUGGAGCGUUCAACCAUUCUGGGAGGGGUGCCCGUGCCUUAAAGCCUAGCACCCAGGUGUGUAUGUGGAGCAGGUAGGGGACGGUUCCUGGGCGCUGGGGAUGAGAUCCUGGAGGUGAACGGGGAGGCAGUGGCUGGACUGACCCUGGAUCAGGUGUCAGGUCUCAUGACCCGCAACAGCACCGCCUCUAUCCAUAUAUCCUGCCACUCCGUCGAAACCAGCGAUGAGCAAUGCAAUACUGCAAUAUUCUAUUAUCCAUUUCAAUAAAUUAAAAAACACUGGACACUGCCCUGUGAUGAUGUCAUGACGAAAACACGAGAAUGGAAAUAAGCAAGCAUAAUGAGAGAUUUGUUUAACUCUGGGAGAACCAAAGGAAGGACAUAAUCAACCUAAUUAUAUUUGUCCAUUAUUAGGCCUAGUCUUUGAAGAUUCAGGCAAAUGUAAGUACUGGUAAAUCCAAACUGAUGUCAAAUAAAACAGAGGAGAAAUAA